rnacentral:lncRNA from 10 species
AGUGCUUCCCAUUCACCAGUCAAUCCAUUAUCACUUCCAUCCCUACCCGCAGAAGCUGGGGGACAGGAAGCAUGUCUGCAUUUGUCCCCUGUAUGUCUCCAGCAUUUUCUAAACAUUUGGCCACAAAUAGGAUGAAGAGAGUGCUGUGCACUGGCCACUUAAGUGCCUUAAUCUUUACCCUAUCAGGAUGACAGUGCUCUGGGUACAGCUCACACACAUGCCCUCUUCUAGACUGGAAAGCUGCUAUUAGGAUGCUGUCAGCAAGUCCAAUAUUAGAAGUUACCCCAGAAUGAUAAAAUUCUACUCUUCUUUCAUUGCAUGUCUCUCAGUCACUUAAUUUCCCCCUUUUCCUAUUAAUUCACAUUAUAAAAACAUUGUUUUAGUUUAGGUGGAAUUUUUUUUCUGCUUCAUUACACUUGCCUUUUUUUUUUUUCUUGGACUUCCCUCCCUGAUAUCUGCAAUGAGUACACACCACCUCCCUUGCAGCCUCUCUGCUUUUAGCAAUAAUUUGCACAUAAUGGAACAGCCAGAGGGGGUUUGAUCAAUGACCUCUGUCUCAGAGAUGCUGUUCCUAGGGAAACACAUCUGCCAACAUAAAGUAUUGGAGCAAUCACAGCUCAGUGAACGCUGUAAUAAGCAACUGUUACUCUGGUGCCAUCAGUCAUGUUCAGUUACAGACCUGAAAGGAAAUGGCACCUCAGGGAGCAAUGUCCUUCCAUAAAUUUGGGCAACAAUGAAGAAUGAUUUGCAAUCAAGUAAUAAAAGGCCCAAAAAAGGUCCACCAUGCAUACUAACAUCCAGUACAGCUGACAAAGGAAAUAAAAAACCUUGGCAUUGUUUGCUCGUUAUGUAAACUACACAGCUGUCCAAGCAAUUAAGAUAUGAUUUUGGGAAUUCUCUCAUAAAAAUUUGCUAACAGUGCUUCCACUUGUGAAAGUGACAUUCUUCUUUAUCAGUAAAGUGCAUUUCAUUAAGGUAAUGCAAUUUCAUCAAGCUUAAUAGUAGAAAUUGCUUAACCUUAUGGCAAGAGUAUAUAAACAAUAUAAAAUUAAUGUCGCUCCUCGUGUGGGAGAUAGAUUUGCAUUAGUGACAGUGCUGAUCAAGUAAUAAAGAAAGCCUAUAUAGAUUGUUCAGGUCCAGGGGCAAAUAGCUGCUCUCCAACUUACAUGUUGGGAAGCUGUGCUGGCAAUAAAACAGUUAAACAUUAACCUCCAUGAAAAGCAUUGGGCUAUAAGGAAAAAGACAGAUCUAAUUACUGAAGAUAUGUUAGAAAAGUGCUUGACUUUAGGACAAAACAAGGCACCUCCCUUACUGAGAAGGAGCAUGGGCUUGCUUAGCAAGCAAAAGAAAAGGAAAGUUAACUCUUAACCCAUGCUCAAAACUGCACUGGCCCAAGACAAGGGGCCCCAUUAACUACUCAACACCCCAUAACCAUUAUCUUUUAUACCCGAGAUCUCUGGAAAUAGGGUUGUGCCUGGCAGAAGGAAGUGCUCUCUAAGCAGAAUUUCAUUUGACCUCUUUUUCUUUCCACCAUUUCAAGCCAAGCCAAAUUUUUCCUCACUAAAGCAAAUGCUAUUGUGGAGUUCUCAUAGAAGAGUUAGUGUUUGAAAGCCACUGUCAGUGGAAGAAAGAACACUUCAACUUCUAUCUCGACUCCAAAAACAUCGUUUAUCCUUGAAAAGUUUUAGCCUUCUCAAUAUAUGCUUUCAUCAGAAUUGUUCAUGAUAAAUACAAUUGGUCUAUUUCAAAUGCCCUCCUCUAAUCUUGCAUCUAUAGCAAAGGAGUGGGUCAGGACAGCAAAACCACAUAGUUUAGAUUAUCCCAGAUUGAAUUAUUAACCUCCAAACAAUAGCAUAUUCAUCUUGCAAGCAAGCCCAUUCAUCAGUUGAGCACACAAUCAUUGCGGACUGAUUCUGCAAUGUUGGACUCUCUUUCUGAGUAAGAUGGAAGCCCUGCCCUCAGGGAGCAACAGGCUGAUAAAGAAGACAAGCAUGCAAAUAAGAGGAGAGAAAGUAAAGUGAAAUAAGCAAUGGUUCAGCAUUUAAUCUGAUAUCAAGAGCAGUGAGGAAGGCGAGUUUAAUUUUGACCUUAAGGUGGGGUCAUGAGUCUAUGUGAACAAGGCAGCAUGUGUUGUCCUUGAAUGGUGAGAAGGACCAUGAGAGAUCCUUUCAGAAUAUUUCUCCAUCAUGAGGUCCUCUGAAGAGAGGGUGGAGAUUGUGAAUGAGAUUCACUGACAGAUGUGGCUAGAUUAAGAGUAUAGAACCAUGUCAUGGAGAGUCUUGAAUGACACAGGGGCCUUAGAGAGCCAGGUAACACAUUCAAAUGAAAUAGUCAAGGGAAGUUUAAUAAAGAAAUAUUUUACAAAGUUGUGGGCAGGAUUAAGGGAAAUUAACAAGGGAUAGAGUACUGUAGGGCUAGCAACAACAGGGAACUUUAUUAUCCUGAAGAUUGGGGAUGGAGAGGCUCAGAAACCUUGAGAAAAAAUGGUAGCUAUGGCUUUAGGAUUGGGCCACCAAUAUGAGAUGUGGCCUUAGGUGGAGGGAUACAGUCUAUACCAAGAAGGAUAGAGCCUAGCAAGGAGGGAGGCAAAGGAAAAAAUGCUUUGAUAUCUCCUUCCCAAAGAGCAAACCUACCAGAAGGCAAGGGAACUCCUUGAUCCAGUAGUACAUGUCAGCCCCAAGGGCACAAAACUGGGGAGAGUGGGGAGGGGUAGAGGAGAGAAUGGAUGUCAAGGAGCAAACAGAAAAUAUCCAGCAAGGCUAAAUCACCAUGAUAAGACGUUUAGACACGAGUUAACUUCUUUGGUUAUAAACCUGGUAAUAAUUCUACAGAGUAGGACUGUAAGAUUCCCCAUUUAGAUUAUGAACAACUUGAAAGCAAGGACUGGGUCUUCAUCAUUCUAUUGUGCCUUACCUAUGCUACAUAUAUCCCUUGUAUCUAGCAUAGAUGAGGCAAAGUAGCAACGUGAGAAUUUAAGGGUCUAGCAGUUAAACAAGGUUGAUGUAGUUAAGCCUCAAAUGUCAUAAAAAAGUUUAGAUUACGGUCUUUGGAAACCUACAACUGUCCCUUCAACAAGAAUAUCAGGAGAUGGAUGUCAAAGUGCAUGAUAUGCUAGUCUUGAGAUCAAUACAAUUUUAGGUCAGCCCUGAGUAUAUGGACCAAAUCUUGAAUGAGGGUAGAGUUUCGCCACAGCCAUAAGGCAUCUAAUUGCAAAAAGAAACCUCAAAAUGUGUCACUGGGGCUCAAGGGCCACUGAAAUUUUAAAAUCUAUUCUGUGGUGUGCUGGGCGUAGGUUGUGUUCACCAAGAAAGGAUAAAGCACACCAUGCUGGCUUCCUCAGCCUGUAGACAGCUGGAUACUGGAGCAGAUUUUUCAGGGGCACUUUACCCUGGGGAUGAAAAGGAAAGAAUUAGGGUGGCAGCUGUGUAAGAAAACAAGCCUUGGGCUUGGCAUGUGCAGACCUGGGUUUGAGGCCCUGACACACUACACAUGGCCGCUGUGACUGGCGACAAGUCUGUGAACCUCAGUGAGCCUGAGCUGUCCAUGGGCUGGGGGGAGAGAAUGUUUACACCUCAGGAUUAUCAUAGGUGUAAAUGAAAUACUGUAUGAAGAAGUGGCUUAUAAACGGCAACACAUACAAACAUAAGGUGUUAUUCUGGCUGCUACUUCCUGGCAUUCAACAAUUCUUCAGCCCGCAAGCACACAGUAGCCUCUUCGAAAGUGAGCCCUGUACAAUUCUCCUUUCCCCUCUUGCUGCUGUGUUUCUUCAUCUGGAAAAUGAAGGCACCAUAAUAAGGGCUCCCUGCCUCGUAGGCCUUUUCCUGAUUUCUUCAGUUUUCUUCAUCUCGGUUAAGGAUCCCAAAGCAACUCAGAACAGAACCCUAAAUAUUUUCGUAAUUCCUUAAAUAAUUAAAAAAGUGGCCUUCAGUUCUCCGAUGCCAAUCUCAAUUUCUACCUACUGGAAACUGUAAAGAUUUUUAACAUUUCCUUUCCUUGCAGUUUUUCCUGCAAUCAGUUUCCUCAUUGAAAGUGUAACAGGUGUAUAUAGCCAUGGAGGCCACCUGCCCUUGACUGCUGUUCUGAAAGUGGAGACACCGCUUAGCCCCACGUCCCUCUGUACCCACCAAAAAGAAAGAAAAAAAUACAAAGAAGGAAGGAUGGAAGAAUGGAAGGAAGGAAAAAGAGAGAAAAAACAAAACAAAAA